CUGACCUCAGGUGAUCCACCCACCUCGGCCUCCCAAAGUGCUAGAAUUACAGGUGUGAGCCACUGCAUCCAGCUGAAAAUACAGACUUUUAAAUAGGAGUCUAUUAACAGACUUCCAUUGGAAAUAUAAAUUGAAACCAGGUAUGGCUUAGCUACCUUAACAUGUACUAUGGUUUUGGAUUUAAGUCACCUAUUCAUUAGACAUUUAUUUUUGAUUCUGUGUCAGGACAAUACUUUCUUUCUUUUUUUUUGAAAAAUGCUCCUUUUUAAAUUAUACUUUCAAUUCUGGGGUACAUGUGCAAAACGUGCAGGUUUGUUACAUAGGUAUACACAUGCCAUAGUGGUUUGCUGCACCCAUCAACCCAUCAUCUACACUAGGUAUCUAUUUCUCCUAAUGCUAUCCCUCCCAGGCAUAUAUAUAUUUUUUUCUUUUGAGAGGGAGUUUUGCUUUUGUUGCCCAGGCUGGAGUGCAAUGGUGCCUCUUGGCUCACUGCAAUUCCCACCUCUUGGGUUCAAGCAAUUCCCCUGCCUCAGCCUCCCAAGUAGCUGGGAUUACAGGCAUGCGCCACCACACCCGGCUAAUUUUGUGCUUUUUUAGUAGAGACAGAGUUUCUUCAUGUUGGUCAGGCUGGUCUCAAACUCCCCACCUCAGGUAAUCCACCCGCCUCAGCCUCCCAAAGUGUUGGGAUUACAGGAAUACUUUUCUUUUACAUAUGGAGUCUCACUUUGGGAAAUUGGGGCAGGAGGAUCACCUGCAUCCAGGAGACCAGCCUGGGCAACACAGCAAGACCCAUCUCUACAAAAUAUCAACAAUCAAGCAUGGUGGCAUGCACCUGUAGUCCCAACUACUCGGAGUCUGAGGGAGAAGUCAAGAGCAGAUCCUGGUUGACCUUCUAGCAACAUCAGCCUGGUGGUAGUGAGGAAGAUGAAUGGAUUGAAGAGAUCAGAACCUAGAGUACAAAGUGACUCAGAUAACUGGCAUGGAGAUAGUGCCCAUGUUUAACCUAAAAAUCAUGUUUUGACAAAUAGGCAUGUAAAGAUUUACCAUAUAACUGCAAAAAUUCAUUUAAAUAUCAAAUUGUCCAUUUAUCCUCCCUGGGGUUUUGGGCACACUCAUGGUUUCAUUCAUCUCAGUAUUAAUGCCCUAAUCUUGAUCUUCAAUGUGGACCUUCCUUCUGAACUUCAAACUUGUUUCCACCUGUAAACCAGACAUCACUUCUCUGAUGCUGAAUGUAUUGACUACCCAAAACUCAACAUAUCCAAAGUUGACAUUUUUUCCUUUCCAAGCCAGAAUCUUGGGAACUAAGAUACCCUUUCUUUCAUAUCCAUUUAAUUAGCUAAAUAUAAGUAGGAAUUCUGAACUUUCUACCUAUAGUAAAUUCAAUUUCAGAAUAUAAAAAGGCAAACUGAUAUAUAGUACACUCUUCACAUUCACGAAUUUAACAUUCGUAGUUACUACUAUUUUAAGUAACCCCAAGAGUUUAGAACAUAGCUACAGAAUUUUGCUCAGGCAAGAAUCUGCACCACAUAUCCAAUGAGGUUGUUACAUGUGAGCAAGUCAGUUACCUAGUGACUGAGUCUAGCUCAGCACUUACAAAUAACUAUGGCUUUAUUACUUUAUGCUCAUUAAUGUAUGAAAAAAGGUCCAUAAAGCAAAAAACACUGUUCGUGAAAAAUGGCUUCCAAAAGAAAGCUAACUGAUAGUACUUGGGAUGGAAAGAGAGAUUCAAAGGUCUUUGUAGGCUAGUUACAAGGCUGAGGUUUGGAAACUGGCAGGAUGAAUUUGGCAGUGGAGUAUCAGAUACAAUUGAGCUCACUAUAUGCUUUACAACACAGAAAAAUAGAAGUGGCUUUUAUCAAGUGUUCCAGGCAACACAAAAAUUAAUCAAUGGGAGAAAGCUAAAGCUGGAAAAAGGCAGAGUUUAAAAUAGUGUAAGGAUAGGCAACAGAAUAGCAGAAAAAAAAAAUCCAGAAACUGAUUCUCAGAUCAAUAAACCCCAAAUUUAUAAGCUAACUCAGUGGAGGAGGGACAGUUUUCUCAGUAAUUGGUGGUUGGUCAAUUUAAAAAAAAUCCACCUCUUAUCAUACACAAAUUCUGUAGAUUUAGAUUUUUAAAAAAGCUAAAUAGAGCUUCUAGAAAAACUGCAGUUCAUUACUUUGGGAUAGCCAAAUAUUCCUAAGAGAGAACCAGAACAAGCAUUAAUUAGAAAAGACUAGUAACUUGGACUAAAAAAACCAUUAAUAGAGUGAGAAGACAAACCACAGGCAAACCCGUAAGGAUUAAAACGUAGAAUAUACAAACAAUUCCAAGAUAUUGAUAAGAAAAAGACAACACAAAAGAAACAAACUUGUGCAAAAUUGCUAAAUUAUAGGGCACAUGUAUAUUCAGUUUCAGCUGAUACUACCAAAUCAUAUCUGCUUCAGACCUGAACAGGUAGUUCAUCGAAGAGGAAAUCAACAUGGUCACAUGCAGGUGAAAAGCUGUUCAACCUCACUAAUCAUCAAAGAAAUAGAUAUUCAGAUAAGGCAAUACCACUACAUACCCAUUAGAAUGGCUAAAAUGCAAAGUACUGACCAUAUGAAGUGUUAGCAAGAAUUUGUAAUAAUUAGAAAAAUCAAUUUAGAAAACUGGCAGUAUGUACUAAAGCUGAAAUAUAUAUGUCAACACUGUGAUAACAAAAUUCCACACCUUAAUAUAUAUCCAACAGAUAGAAGUACAGGUGUGUGCCAAAAGAUACAUGCAUGGCUGACUCAGUGGCUCAGAUUGAGGCUAAGGCAAGAGAAUCACUUAAGGCCAGGAGUUUGAGACUAGUCUGGGCAACAUAGUGAGACUUUUCUUUUUUUUUUUUUUUUUGAGACAGAGUUAUGCUGUUGUUACCCAGACUGGAGUGCAAUGGCAUGAUCUUGGCUCACUACAACUCCGCCUCCUGGGUUCAAGCAAUUCUCCUGCCUCAGCCUCCCGAGUAGCUGGGACUAUAGGCGUGCACCACCAUGCCCAGCUAAUAUUUGUAUUUUUAGUAGAGACGGGGUUUCACCUUGCUGACCAGGAUGGUCUCAAUCUCUUGACCUCAUGAACCACCCGCCUCAGCCUCCCAAAGUGCUGGGAUUAUAGGUGUGAGCUACCAGAGACUUUUAUUUUCUACAAAAAAUAAACAAAAUUUGCCAGGCGUAAUGGUAUGUGUUUAUAGUCCCAGCUACUUGGGAGGAUCACUUGAGCCCAGGUGGUCAAGGAUGCACCAAGCUUACACCACUCAACUCCAGCCAGGAUGAUGGAAUGAGACACCAUCUCAAAAACCAAAGAACAUAUAAUGGAUACACAUAUGAAAAUGAGCAAAUCUCAGAAGCCAAAGGGGGCAGCUUCCCAGUUGCUGAUACUGUUCUACUGCUUGACCUAGGUGGUGGUCACACUCACAUAGGUGGUGGUCACACUCACAUAGGUGGUAUUAUUUAUGAUGAUUAGUAUGAUUUUAGCAUACUUCUGAAUGCAUGCAUACUUCACUGAAGGUAUUCCAAGAGACCCCAUUCCAACAGCAAAAAUCCUUAUGAUUUUAGUACUUACCAUAACUCAUCACGUAUGUGAAGGGGCUAAAUUCUUUAAAGUUAUGCUUUAUUUCAGUUUACAUUGUAUUAGGAAAAGAUUAUUAUAGGAGUGCCUGUGUCUUGAGAAGGUCAAGCAUCCACUGUAUUACCACCUCCUUAUUAGGGAAGCAUACAGAACUUUUCAAAUUCUAAGGGAUUGGCCAGGCAUGGUGGCUCACGCCUGUAAUCCUGGCCAACAUGACAAAACUCCAUCUCCACUAAAAAUACAAAAUAAUUAGCCAGGCAUGGUGGUGGGCACUUGGAAGCCCAGCUACUCAGGAGGAUGAGGCAGGAGAAUCGCUUGAACCUGAGAGGCCGAGGUUACAGUGAGCCGAGAUCACACCAUUGCACUCCAGCCUGUGGGCGGGGGACAAGAGCUAAACUCCAUCUCAAAAAAAAUUUCUAAGGGGUCAACAUGAAGACCAGUUAGUGUUUAAAACAAAUUUGACAUGAAAUUAUAGUAUUACAUUCUCCUCAAUAAUCCCAUUUCUACUCAUAUAAAGUUUUCCAUGUAGUUUAAGUUUCAUAAUUUCAUCAUUCUUUUGUAUGCAGAGGCAAAAAUACAGAUAUCCAACAAUUCCCAUCCACGGUUGUCAAAAUUCAGACUUAGUAUUCACAAAUGUAAUCUGUGUUCCGGUCAUGGGAUGAGAAGAAAGUAGCUCCCGUUCCCAACCUCCCCUGUUUGGUUUUCUCUUUUCUUAGUGCUGGAAAUAUAGUCAUAAGCCACCCGGCCUGGCCCCCUCUCUUUGAUUUUCUACUAGGACUCAGGUAGGCUAAUAAAGGUGAGGAAUGCCUAGGGGCUGACUCAAGGAUAAGUAUUUAGAAUCGGCAGAACCAUGUUUUUUGCAGAAGGUACUCGAUAUUCCUUAAUUAAGAGAUUAGGCCUGGCAUGGUGGCUCACACCUAUAAUCCUAGCACUUUGGGAGGCCAAGGUGGGUGGAUCACCUGAUUUCAGGAGUUCGAGACCAGCCUGGCCAACAUAAUGAAACCCUGUCUCUACUAAAAAUACAAAAAUUGCCGGGUAUGGUGGUGGGCACCGGUAAUCGCAGCUACUCGGGAGGGUGAGGCAGGAGAAUCACUUGAACCCAGGAAGUAGAAGUUGCAGUGAGUGACUGCGCUCAAGUGGAUGACAGAGCAAGGCUCUGUCUAAAAAUAAAA